rnacentral:lncRNA from 1 species
UCCUCCUCUUUUUGCUGAGGAAAACUGGCCCUGAGCUAACAUCCUUGCCCAUCUUCCUCUACUUUAUAUGUGGGACGCCUGUCACAGCAUGGCCUGAUGGGCGGUGCCGUGUCCGCACCCGGGAUCCAAACUGGUGGACCCCAGGCCACCAAAGCAGAACGUGCGCACUUAACUGCUGCGCCACUGGGCCAGCCCCUGUAGUAAGUUUUGGAAUCAGGAAAAAUUAGCCCUGAGCUAACUACUGCCAGUCCUCCUCUUUUUGCUGAGGAAGUCUGGCCCUGAGCUAACAUCCAUGCCCAUCUUCCUCUACUUUAUAUGUGGGACACCUGCCACAGCGUGGCGUGCCAAGCAGUGCCACGUCCGCACCCGGGAUCCAAACCAGCGAACUGCGGGCCGCUGAGAAGUGGAACGUGCGAACUUAACCACUGUUAACCGGGCUGGCCCCUCAUCUUGUAACUUUGAAAGAUGAUGUGCUGUCUUCACCACUCAGCAGUUUCCUGGAGAUAAGUCAGUGUCCUGAAUAUAAAUGAUCAGGUCCCUGGAGCAAUAGCAUGAGAAUCUCCUGUGGCAACAGUAAAGAGUGCAGAUUUGUGGACUGUCUUGGGGUGAGGUCUGCGAAUUUGCAUAUUUGUAAGCUCUCAUAAUGAUCUUGAUGCAUAUUAAGUCUUGAGAACUAUUUCUCUGGGUAGUUAGUCCCAGUUCUGCCACUUAAAAGCUGUGUGGUAUGGGGCAAGUUAUUUCAACAGUUCUGUUUUAAUCUCAGCCCUGGGUGAGAGGCCAGAUAACAACAAUAGAUAAUAACAGUAACAUAUGGAUUAUCCCUUUAUUUAUUUAUUUAUUUUUGCUGAGG